UUCUUCUUCUUCAUCUUCUUCUUCUUCUAAACCCUAAAUCCAUCAAUUUUUUUUGAAUUCCGAUGAUGAUGAUCCAAUCAAAGUGGAGAGACGUAUUGAAAUAAAAGCAACCCAAGGCGAUGAUAUGAUCCGUGACGUGGCGUUUAAUUGAUUGAAUGAUCGAUCAGAUCUGAUCUCCAUCGAUCUCCUCUGUUCUUCUUCUUCAAUCUAAAAUCAAUAUCGAGAUUUCACGGAGACGAGCGAAUUCAAAAGUGAAGAGAGGAAUCGAAUCAAUCUGAGCCUCGUAGAUUUGCGUAUUGGGGAAGAAGAAGUUGGUUCAAGCGUCACAGAACCGUGCUUAAGUUCUUGACUGAUGCUAUGUUCCUGAGAGAAGCAAUGUGCGGAUCCAUUGUUGGUAUCCCAGAUUUCAAAGGCAAAGUGCUGCUCACGUACAUGCUUUAUACAGAGAAGCGUUUCAGUAAUGAUUGCAGCCGUAGACCUAUACUGAAAUAUUGAGGUCAAACCUUGCAAACACAGUUCUCAUAGUUAAUUGAGUCCCCUGCUCCUGAUACGCUGAUGGAGAGCCUUGGAUCCACAGAUGGCGAAGAUGCUCAUAGUUAAUUCUGAUUUCAACUGCUUGAAGAAGAUUCUCUUAAGUUUCCCAUGCUCUCUCUCAGAUUAGUUAGUAGUUGCAGUUUCUCAUCUAUUCUCUCUCAUUAAGCAAAUGGAUCAGUCUCAUAGUAGUUGCGAAUUGCUUUAUUCGGUCUAGAGAGGCUCAAACCAGAGGAGGCUAGAGCAAGGUUUGGACACAUUGAUGGAAGAUCACCUCACAUUGUUUGAACGUCAAGCAAAACAAAAAUGUUAAGACAGCAGCUAGUCCGGAUAAAUGUCAAGGUUCAACCUGAAGAUGUGCAGCACUCAUUUUAACAACUACAUCAACAUAAGUGGCUCACUUGAUACGCACUGGCCAUUACUUGACAGCCAAGUAUGUCAAGACAAGUUCUGUUUAUAUCGUUGGACAAAAGAAGCAAUCCAUAAGAGGAGGAUUAUACAGUGAAUCAAGAAAUAAAGAUGACACAUCUCUGAUUCUCAUGGUAGUUGGAAGAAACAGGUAGCUUGCUCCCUCUAGUUUGUGGUUUCAAAUUGCAGGUAUUAUACUAUACUUUCUUACCUUUUUCUUUUUAGUUAAGAAUAAUGAUUUUAAUUUAAAAAUAU